GUGAGGUUGUGCCAAAUACCCCAAGAGCAGAGGACGUUUGAGGGCUUGGUCAGAAGCAGGCAGGGAGCUGUGAGCUGGUUUUGCUGAGGAAGAUUUACCAGAGCAUCAUUUCUCUAAGUCACUGCACAGAAGUGACAGCAUUUGUAAGCAGAUGAUGAUG